AUUUUAUUUGGAAGUAGGAAAACUUCAGUGAGUAUCACAGCAGUUAGAUUUUCAAGUAUGGUCAGCAGAGUAUGCAGUUAGAAAACUGUACUUCUCAAAAUUUUUCCUAGAGUGAGAAAGUGACUGCCAGAAGUUCCACUGUCUAGAAUUUGCAGUUGGAGUUGAAAUGAGGAAUACACAGAACCAUCACAGAAAACAAUAGGAAACACAGUUGACCCUUGAAGAACACACAUUUUGAACUAUGGCCCAGUUACAAGUGGAUUUUUUCAGGAAAAUUACACCGUGUCUGUCUGCCUCUCCUGCCUCCUCUUCCACCUCCUCCACCUCUUCUGCCUCUGCCAACCCUGUGACAGCAAGAACAACCCCUCCACUUUUUCCUCCUCUUCAGCCCAUUCAAUGUGAAGAAAAGGAUGAAGAUCUUUACAAUGAUCAACUUCUAUUUAAUGAAAGGGUUCAUCUUCUGGCACUCUCUGUUGUCUGACGUCUGGAAGCAUUUGUUUCAUGUAUUUGUUGAUUUUCAAGUUCUUUCCAGUAGAAGUAAAAAGGUAAUUUUCACAUUAAUUAAAUUACCCCAUUAUGUAUGGAAAGCAGAAAUUCUCUUAUAAAAACAUAUUCAGUCAAUAAUGUUAUUUUGCUUAAACCUACAAAUGUAUACUAUUUUUAGGCAGCAAUAUUUUGAAAAUAACUACUUUGUAGUUCCAACAGUAUUAAUCAAUAAAUCAAGCAAGAAAGAAGCAUUUCAAAAAUAUUAGGUACUAAUUGAUUUAAUACCAUAUUUCACGAUCAAGAGUGUCCCCAUUUAAGUGAUAUAUUAUAUGGUUAUCCUAUUUUUAAGUCUGUUAAAAGUUGUUUCAAAUCUCCACUGUUGCAUACUUGCAUGUGAAAAUUACCAAUGUGGAUUGUGUUAAACUGACAACUCAAAUGUCACAAAGUCUCUGUCAUAUGUGUUUUAUGGAUUGCUUCAAUGGUUAAUAACUUUAGAUAAUGUCAUAGAAGUGAAAUACAGUAUCUUUUUGAUUAUAUGGUCAUAGGAAAAUAAAGAGUACAUAAAAACUUUAAAAUACUGGAUUUUUAUAUUUUAAAAACUCAGAUUCUAGGCUCUGUUUUUAUAAAUGGUUUUGUUGUUUCUGUUUUGUUCUGUUCUGUUUGAUUUACCUGAUAAUCUAGAUGGAUGUUCAAGAAUGGUAGGAUACUGGGCAAUUUUUACUUGGUGGUAUUCUUCUUUAUAAAAGAGAAACCUUAAACAGUUGUGGUUCCACCUAGUAAGUGUAUAAAAUUUCCCAAAUAUUAGGGAAAAAACAUAAAACAGCCUUUGAAAGUAAUACGAUUCCCUUUGAAAACUACCCAUAAUAUUGUGUGGGUUUUGUCUUACCCUCAGUGAGAUGGAGACUUACUAAGGGUAGUAAUGUAAGGAAGUGAAAAUGUGACAUAAGCAUGUUAGUAUUUUACUGGCUGUGUGUUGGAUUAGAAAUGAAGGUUUGUCAGAAUAAUGGUGGCAGGGAGAGAAGCAGACCAAUUAGGGCAUUAUUUCAGAAAUUUAAAUAUGAAGUUAUGAAUAUAGAUGUAACAUGUUUAAAUAUAUCAGCAGGGAGCAGAAGGAAAAACAACAGAGAAAUAAGCAUGUUUUCUAGGCUAAGAUUCCAAACUGCCCAAGGAGAAAAGUGAUGGUAAUAGAUAGAAGAAAUUGGAAAAAUAAGAGAAGAAAGGCAAGAAGGAAAAAACAGACUGAAUUUUUACUAGAUAUUAGAGGAAACUACCUACAUUCAUUUAAAAAACAGGACGACAAAUGCCAUAUUUUUGAAAUAGAAAAGAAAUAAUCUUCAGGAAUUAUAGUACAUUCUAAGAAAGCAAUGUUGUAGAAGGAUUUAGAUAAAUGUAGAAAAGUAAUUUGUAAAUUUAAAUAGUGGUAACAGUUGGAAUGUGGUUAAAAAGGACUAUUGCUGUUUUUGUGAUUAUUAAUAGCUGAUGUGCUUCCUACUUUCUUGUCAGUGAUACUGAGAAAAGUAGAUGGAAUAAUUCAAAAUUAAUUAACAGACUUCUCAGUUCCAAACCAAAUGUUCAUGUUUUUAGAAAUAAAGGUAUUGUAAAAACCUUGGGCUUCAUGUCAAAUGUUAUUAUGUAAUACGUAUUGAAUCACACAUAAUUUGAGAGCUUAAUCCAUUUUUUAACUUAUUAUAUAUUCCAAGUUGCUGAAUCAAGUGUAACAUUGUACUGAGAUUCAGAAAUUUCAUGGGAUGAACAAGAUGUGGCAACAAAAGAUGAAGACAUGAACCUCUAUCUAAUAAAGAUAAAUUAUUUUGGAGAAUAUUGCGUGACGAGUAAUGGAAACUAGAUUUCAAAUAUUUACUGACAAAGUGAUCAAUUAUUGUUAAGAAUCUGAAAUUGUUUUUUUUGAUAUGUACUGAAAUGUUUUAUUCAAAUGCUAUUUUCUAUUACUUACAAAUAGAAUCAAAAUUCUAAGAGGAGAAACUAUUAUCCACCACUGUUUACACCAGCAAGUUAUCCGGAAACCUACUCGGAACUCUGUGGGGUUGUUGUCCCUAACCGUGAGCUUCCUACUCAUGCAUCAUAGUUAGGUUUGAUGAUUGUGGGGCUUGCACUAUGUUCUUGAGGAUCCUUAUAAAAAAGACUCAACCUUUCAGGGCACAUCAAAUAAAGGCAUUCAAACACAAUGCCUGAAACUUCAACUCCAUUCCCAGAAAUAGGUCCCCUUGAAGAUCUAGAAAAAGAGGACUAUAAGGAGGAAAAGUAGAAAGUCUAGGAGGAGGAGGAAGAAAACUUAAAGAGCAGAAGGAUAAGAAGGAAGGGUUCAGGUCUUGAAAUAAGUAACAUGGACAAAGAAGCUGAAACUGCUGAAAAUUUAUCUGUUAGGAUACCCUAUCAAUAUAUUUUCUGUUGUGUAUCUCUUAAAUAGAUUCACAUCAACAUCUGAAAAAUAUAUAUUAAAAUAAUACCAACAUUAUAAAAGACAACAAUAACAGCUAACAUUUGUAUAGCAUGUUCUACGUGCUAGGCAGUGUUUAAUAAUUUUGACAAAUAUUAACACAUUGAAUCCUCACUUAAAACGAUUAAGUAUUUUCUUUAUUUAUACAUGAAUAAAUUAGGGUAUGGAGAGGGUGCCUUCAUGGGUAACCACUGAUUAUCAAUGAAUAUCUUUUGAACUAUCAAGCAGUGCUUUUUCAGGUACUUUUAAAGGUUUUAUUAAAAAAAAAAUCACACAAGCUCAUUUCAAGAGUUUAAUUUCUAUAGUAUUAUAGUACUUAAGUAUCCACAUUAAAUUUGAAAUCAUUAGAUUUGAAUCAAAUUCAUUUUCAAUUUCACACCAGGCGUUUAGCAAUAAUCUAUUAAUUUCAUUGUGUUCUUUUGUAAAAUGGAAAUAAUAUCUAUCUCAUAUGUUUUCUGAGGAUCAAUUUUGAUAUAUUUAGUAAGGAUAAUUGUUCAUCCCUUCCCAAAUUAAGAAGUUAAUACAUACAAAUUUUCAAAAUAGCCAAACGUUGCAUUCCAUUCCAUUGCUUCUCUUUGGUAUCAUAACAUGUAGAGAAAUAUUUUUUAGAAGGUCAAGUAAAUGUUUUAGUAAGAUGAAUAGUGAUGUGUGUGUAUUAUACGGGGGGGCCAUAUUCAUCAGAGCAACCAAAAAAUGUGAUGCUUUUAAAUAUAAUAGAAAUAUUUCAAAUUAUUUAUUAGCUUUGUGAUUUUAAUAAAGUAUGAGUUUAUAUUCUAAUUUUAAUGAUAUCUCUCAUCAAUUAUAUAUCUCUAUUCUCUAUUUUAUGACAUAAAUAUGGCUUUGUCUUUUCUUGUGUUUAUUCUAAGAACUCCUCUCAACUAGAUUAUCAAUAUUUGUGGGGAAAGAAUUAUGUUUGAUUUGCUUUGUAACCCCUUUUUUUUGUAAACUUUUGUAAACAAAAGUUUAAGGGAAUAUUUAUCCGGAGAAAAGGUAACUAUUUGGAAAUGUUUGUAUUAUUGUUUCUUUAAAAAGCCUAGACAAACAUGAUCUGGGUCAUGUUUAUUCUGCAAUCAAGAAGGAAAUAAGCACAUGAACCAGACAAGCAUCAAGGCUAUUUUUAUUAUCUAAAUAUAUUUAUAAACAAAUUAGAAAUAAUAAAUUUACAUUACUUUUACUAUUAAAUGGACUUUAAUAGUAAAAAGUGACCCACUUCAUG
rnacentral:lncRNA from 10 species